rnacentral:rRNA from 1 species
GACAUAGGUGGCAAACGUUAUCCGGAAUUAUUGGGCGUAAAGAGUGUGUAGGCGGUGUUCUAAGUUUGGUGUGAAAUCUCCCGGCUCAACUGGGAGGGUGCGCCGAAAACUGGAAUGCUAGAGUAUGGGAGAGGUAAGCGGAAUUCCUGGUGUAGCGGUGAAAUGCGUAGAUAUCAGGAGGAACACCUGUGGUGUAGACAGCUUACUGGACCAUCACUGACGCUGAGACACGAAAGCGUGGGUAGCAAACAGG